rnacentral:rRNA from 1 species
GAUGAACGCUGGCGGCGUGCCUAAUACAUGCAAGUCGAGCGAACGGACGAGAAGCUUGCUUCUCUGAUGUUAGCGGCGGACGGGUGAGUAACACGUGGAUAACCUACCUAUAAGACUGGGAUAACUUCGGGAAACCGGAGCUAAUACCGGAUAAUAUUUUGAACCGCAUGGUUCAAAAGUGAAAGACGGUCUUGCUGUCACUUAUAGAUGGAUCCGCGCUGCAUUAGCUAGUUGGUAAGGUAACGGCUUACCAAGGCAACGAUGCAUAGCCGACCUGAGAGGGUGAUCGGCCACACUGGAACUGAGACACGGUCCAGACUCCUACGGGAGGCAGCAGUAGGGAAUCUUCCGCAAUGGGCGAAAGCCUGACGGAGCAACGCCGCGUGAGUGAUGAAGGUCUUCGGAUCGUAAAACUCUGUUAUUAGGGAAGAACAUAUGUGUAAGUAACUGUGCACAUCUUGACGGUACCUAAUCAGAAAGCCACGGCUAACUACGUGCCAACAGCCGCGGUAAUACGUAGGUGGCAAGCGUUAUCCGGAAUAUUGGGCGUAAGCGCGCGUAGGCGGUUUUUUUAAGUCUGAUGUGAAAGCCCACGGCUCAUUCGUGGAGGGUCAUUGGAAACUGGAAAACUUGAGUGCAGAAGAGGAAAGUGGAAUUCCAUGUGUAGCGGUGAAAUGCGCAGAGAUAUGGAGGAACACCAGUGGCGAAGGCGACUUUCUGGUCUGUAACUGACGCUGAUGUGCGAAAGCGUGGGGAUCAAACAGGAUUAGAUACCCUGGUAGUCCACGCCGUAAACGAUGAGUGCUAAGUGUUAGGGGGUUUCCGCCCCUUAGUGCUGCAGCUAACGCAUUAAGCACUCCGCCUGGGGAGUACGACCGCAAGGUUGAAACUCAAAGGAAUUGACGGGGACCCGCACAAGCGGUGGAGCAUGUGGUUUAAUUCGAAGCAACGCGAAGAACCUUACCAAAUCUUGACAUCCUUUGACAACUCUAGAGAUAGAGCCUUCCCCUUCGGGGGACAAAGUGACAGGUGGUGCAUGGUUGUCGUCAGCUCGUGUCGUGAGAUGUUGGGUUAAGUCCCGCAACGAGCGCAACCCUUAAGCUUAGUUGCCAUCAUUAAGUUGGGCACUCUAAGUUGACUGCCGGUGACAAACCGGAGGAAGGUGGGGAUGACGUCAAAUCAUCAUGCCCCUUAUGAUUUGGGCUACACACGUGCUACAAUGGACAAUACAAAGGGCAGCGAAACCGCGAGGUCAAGCAAAUCCCAUAAAGUUGUUCUCAGUUCGGAUUGUAGUCUGCAACUCGACUACAUGAAGCUGGAAUCGCUAGUAAUCGUAGAUCAGCAUGCUACGGUGAAUACGUUCCCGGGUCU